rnacentral:lncRNA from 1 species
UUAGAUUGUGAGUCGAUCAACAGCUGUCUUAAUAUCAAAGAGCUCAUUCUAACACAAACGAACCCAUAAACCAUGGUCUUAAGCUACAAUCCCGAUAAACAAAAUCAUCACAGUGUUCGCAGAAUUCAAACAUCAACAGAGAGGACAGCACCCCACGCACGCAUUGGAUCUGAAGACCUGUUGGGUGCUCCCACUUGCUGAAGAGUCGCUUCUUCACUCCAUGGUAGCUCCAGAACCGAAAGUGCCGCCGCCGCCUCCACGGCCAAAGGGCCUGGCAGCACCACCAGCACCCUGGAGAAACAAUUACAGAUUGUACAAAAUUAGAUAACCAGAAGGAAGUAUAGAGUUUAUAUGUGCAAUUAAGGAAUGGUUUACAUAGUAGAGUCUAUAUGUGCAAUGAAGGAAUGUUUUACAUAGUACAGCACCAGAAUUGAAAACUGUUUUACAUAGAACAGAAACAGAGCUGAGAACUGCCAAGCUAUGAUCAAGCCUCAUAGGAAACCAGAGCUUAACACUACAAUCUAUGAUCAAGCUAAAAACCAAUACAGUAUCACAGUAGAAUAUUUCCAACAUAUAAUGAGAGAAUCAGAGUCCAGUUAUCAAAACUGGUUCGAAUGCUAGAAGCUAGAAACGUAAUCAUGUCAUGAAUGCACACCUAAGUUGAUGCCAACAAUCAUAUGAAAUUUAACAACGGUAAUUGCAGUCCUUACCCUGAAAGCUGGCUGGUACUCAGCAGGAGCUCCACCCUUCUCACCAGCAAAAUCACCUGGAGCACCACGUGGGCCUCCUCUGUAACCAUCCCUGUCACCAUACCUGGGCCUGUCACCCUCAAAACGAGGAGGACCCCUGCCAAAUUUAGCAAAACCAAUUAGUGAAUACAAAUACAUCAGUGUUCUUGAUAUAUGAAUGUAAGAGAAACAAACAAGCUGGACACCAUGGAAGAAUUGUGUUUCAUACUUUGCCAAAUGUAACUACUUAUGGCUUUAACUACACAACAUUAUAGGGAGGAUAAUUGUAGGUCAAAUUGUAGAAUAUACAUAUACAGAUAUAUAAAAAACACAAGCCUAAUUCCCCUGUGUUUCAACAACUGAAUAGCAUGGCCAUACAACAGAAAUGGAACAGAGAUUAUUAUUGAGCAUUGGUGUGGCAUGGCAAGGUUCAUCAACUAAUUUCAACUUUGCUAAACAAAUGGUGGAUCAGGACUAAAAUUUAUCCUCAUUCCAAGUCAACAGGCACCAAGAUUAGACAGACUAAUCAAAAUAUAGAGUAUAGCUAGAUGAUCAGUGUGGUUAUAUUCUCAACAGCAACAGGAACAACUAUGCCCAAAACAGAGAGGCAGAAUGAUGAACAUAGCUAGCUCACCUGGGGCGGUCACCCGGUGGGCCAGAGCCGAAGGGGCGGGACGGGGGCUUGGCGGACUUCUUGAGGGUGUUGGGCACGAUCUCAGACGGCAGGUUGAGGAAGGUGCGGAGGAACUCAAUGCCGUCGUUGGUCAGGUACCAGUAGUAGUGCUGCCACGAGAAGGUCUCCCUGACGUACUCCUUGGACUUGAAGCUCUGCAUGAGCUUGAUGACCUCGAGGUUCGAGGCAUCGACCUGGGGGUGCUUGGCCAGGUUGUAGUCCUUCUUGGCGUACAAGACUCCCU